rnacentral:rRNA from 1 species
CGAACGGGUGAGUAAUACAUCGGAACGUGUCCGCUCGUGGGGGACAACCAGCCGAAAGGUUGGCUAAUACCGCAUGAGUUCUACGGAAGAAAGAGGGGGACCCGCAAGGGCCUCUCGCGAGCGGAGCGGCCGAUGACUGAUUAGCCGGUUGGUGAGGUGACGGCUCACCAAAGCAACGAUCAGUAGCUGGUCUGAGAGGACGACCAGCCACACUGGGACUGAGACACGGCCCAGACUCCUACGGAAGGCAGCAG